rnacentral:rRNA from 1 species
UGGGGAAUUUUGGACAAUGGGCGCAAGCCUGAUCCAGCAAUGCCGCGUGUGUGAAGAAGGCCUUCGGGUUGUAAAGCACUUUUGUCCGGAAAGAAAACCUCGUGGUUAAUACCCGUGGGGGAUGACGGUACCGGAAGAAUAAGCACCGGCUAACUACGUGCCAGCAGCCGCGGUAAUACGUAGGGUGCAAGCGUUAAUCGGAAUUACUGGGCGUAAAGCGUGCGCAGGCGGUUCGCUAAGACAGAUGUGAAAUCCCCGGGCUUAACCUGGGAACUGCAUUUGUGACUGGCGGGCUAGAGUAUGGCAGAGGGGGGUAGAAUUCCACGUGUAGCAGUGAAAUGCGUAGAGAUGUGGAGGAAUACCGAUGGCUAAGGCAGCCCCCUGGGCCAAUACUGACGCUCAUGCACGAAAGCGUGGGGAGCAAACAGG